rnacentral:tRNA from 1 species
GCCGAAAUAGCUUAGUUGGAAGAGCGUUAGACUAUAGAUCGAAAGGUGUCUGGUUCGAUCUCGGGUUUCGGCA